CGCCUAGAUGUUCUGGGCCGCACGCGCGCUACACUGAACAGUUCAACAAGUCUUAACCUUGGCCGAUAGGUCUGGGUAAUCUUUGAACGCUGUUCGUGAUUGGGAUAGACCUUUGCAAUUAUGGGUCUUCAACGAGGAAUUCCUAGUAAACGCAAGUCAUCAGCUUGCAUUGAUUACGUCCCUGCCCUUUGUACACACCGCCCGUCGCACCUACCGAUUGAAUGGUCCGGUGAAAUCUCGGGACGGCGGCUUGGUCGCUUGCGUCCGACUGCUGAAACUUGAUUAAACCAUAUCAUUUAGAGGAAGGUGAAGUCGUAACA
rnacentral:rRNA from 1 species